AUGGCUUCUUGGCCUUUUGGCUAAGAUCAAGUGUAGUAUCUGUUCUUAUCAGUUUAAAUUCACUUAUAUUUAAAGUAAUUAUUGAUAAGGCACCUGGGUGGCUCAGUCAGUUAAGAGUCUGCCUUC
rnacentral:snRNA from 1 species